rnacentral:rRNA from 1 species
CCUACGGGUGGCAGCAGUGAGGAAUAUUGGUCAAUGGACGAGAGUCUGAACCAGCCAAGUAGCGUGAAGGAUGACUGCCCUAUGGGUUGUAAACUUCUUUUAUAUGGGAAUAAAAUGUUCCACGUGUGGGAUUUUGUAUGUACCAUAUGAAUAAGGAUCGGCUAAAUCCGUGCCAGCAGCCGCGGUAAUACGGAGGGUCCGGGCGUUAUCCGGAUUUAUUGGGUUUAAAGGGAGCGUAGGUGGAUUGUUAAGUGAGUUGUGAAAGUUUGCGGCUCAACCGUAAAAGUGCAGUUGAAACUGGCAGUCUUGAGUACAGUAGAGGUGGGCGGAAUUCGUGGUGUAGCGGUGAAAUGCUUAGAUAUCACGAAGAACUCCGAUUGCGAAGGCAGUUCACUGGACUGCAACUGACACUGAGGCUCGAAAGUGUGGGUAUCAAACAGGAUUAGAUACCCGGGUAGUC